CCUCACCCCGCGCGUCCGCCGCCGGGACCCCCCUCCGGAACUGCGAGCGCCGCCCCCCGCCCGACAGCCGUGUCUAGCUCUCUGACCCAGGAUGGAGUGCAGUGGUGUGAUCACAGCUCAUUGCAGUCUCCAACUCCCAGGCUCAAACCAUCCUCCAGCCUCAGCCUCCCAAGUAACUGGGACCACAGGCACGUACCACCAUGCCUGGCUAAUUUUUACCAUUCCAGGCACUGGAGCCAUCAGAGUACAAAACAGACGCAAACUUCUGUCCUCUUGAAGUCCACUCUGGGAGACAGGCGAUGACACACACAACAUAUGUAUCAAAGUGAGCUGGGAGCCUUGUGAGGCUUUGAGCAGAGGAAGGACAUGGUCUGGCUCUGGCUGCCGAGUGGAGCAGGAAGAGAAAGAAGGUGAAGGGGAUGCUGCUGUCACCAGAGCCCCAGGUGAUGCUUGGUGGAUUGCACACGGGUAGAAAGAAGUGAUCCGGAUCAGGACAUAACUUGAAAAAGGAGCUAUUCCCUGUGCUGAGCUUAGAAACAGGUUUCUGGGCGGGGCGCGGUGGCUCAUGCCUGUAAUCCCACCACUUUGGGAGGCCAAGACAGGUGGAUCACAAGGUCAGGAGUUCAAGACCAGCUUGGCCAAGAUGGUGAAAUCCCAUCUCUACUAAAAAUACAAAAAUCAGCCGGGAGUGGUGGCGGG
rnacentral:lncRNA from 1 species